rnacentral:rRNA from 1 species
AGUGAACGCUGGCGGUAGGCCUAACACAUGCAAGUCGAACGGCAGCACAGUAAGAGCUUGCUCUUACGGGUGGCGAGUGGCGGACGGGUGAGGAAUACAUCGGAAUCUACUUUUUCGUGGGGGAUAACGUAGGGAAACUUACGCUAAUACAGCAUACGACCUACGGGUGAAAGCAGGGGAUCUUCGGACCUUGCGCGAUUGAAUGAGCCGAUGUCGGAUUAGCUCGUUGGCGGGGUAAAGGCCCACCAAGGCGACGAUCCGUAGCUGGUCUGAGAGGAUGAUCAGCCACAUGGGAACUGAGACACGGUCCAGACUCCUACGGGAGGCAGCAGUGGGGAAUAUUGGACAAUGGACGCGAGCCGGAUCCAGCCAUACCGCGUGGGUGAAGAAGGCCUUCGGGUUGUAAAGCCCUUUUGUUGGGAAAGAAAAGCAGCAGGUUAAUACCCCGCUGUUCUGACGGUACCCAAAGAAUAAGCACCGGCUAACUUCGUG